rnacentral:rRNA from 1 species
UACGUAGGGUGCAAGCGUUGCCCGGAUUUAUUGGGCGUAAAGCGCACGUAGGCGGCUUUGUAAGUUAGAGGUGAAAGCCCAGGGCUUAACUCUGGAAUUGCCUUUAAGACUGCAUCGCUAGAAUCGUGGAGAGGUGAGUGGAAUUCCGAGUGUAGAGGUGAAAUUCGUAGAUAUUCGGAAGAACACCAGUGGCGAAGGCGACUCACUGGACACGUAUUGACGCUGAGGUGCGAAAGCGUGGGGAGCAAACAGG